rnacentral:miRNA from 1 species
AGGCAAGAUGUAGGCACGU